rnacentral:rRNA from 1 species
AUUGAACGCUGGCGGCAUGCCUUACACAUGCAAGUCGAACGGCAGCACGGGGGCAACCCUGGUGGCGAGUGGCGAACGGGUGAGUAAUGCAUCGGAACGUGCCUAGUAGUGGGGGAUAACUAUCCGAAAGGAUAGCUAAUACCGCAUACGCACUAUGGUGGAAAGCGGGGGAUCGCAAGACCUCGCGCUAUUAGAGCGGCCGAUGUCGGAUUAGCUAGUUGGUGGGGUAAAGGCCUACCAAGGCGACGAUCCGUAGCUGGUCUGAGAGGACGACCAGCCACACUGGGACUGAGACACGGCCCAGACUCCUACGGGAGGCAGCAGUGGGGAAUUUUGGACAAUGGGGGCAACCCUGAUCCAGCCAUGCCGCGUGUGUGAAGAAGGCCUUCGGGUUGUAAAGCACUUUUGGCAGGAACGAAACGGUCUGUGUUAAUACCACGGGCUAAUGACGGUACCUGCAGAAUAAGCACCGGCUAACUACGCGCCAGCAGCCGCGGUAAUAC